GUUUUUCAUCAAAUUACCUUCUGUUUUCUGAGUUUAAUUUCAGUUGGGGGUUGAGAUAUCUGUGCCAUUUUUACAGAUAUCUGCAGUGGAGGUGAGAAAAAAAUAAAAUCUUGGCUGCGUUCAUCUUAGACAGAAAAUAAGAGUGACAUUUUCAGAAGGUUUUGAACCAGGCUGAACAUUUUCAUUGAGGCUUGGAUUCCCAGAUUUUCAAGAAUAUUUAGAUCCCAAAAUAAGUGGAGACUAUAAACUUAGGGGGGUUUAUAAGGAAAUGUGGCUGCACUGCUCAGGGGGGUUAGGACCCCCCCCCCCCCCCCCCCCCCCCCCCCCCCCAUGUGGCUGCACUGCUCAGGGGGGUUAGGAAGGCUCCAGAGCAGUUCUUGGGUUAUAAAAUAUUUGUAAUCCUGGGGCUCUGAAGUUGCUUUGAAAAGGAUUUGAGAGCUUGGGUUUGGUUUUGUGAUGUUGGCCACAAAAGGGGUCACUUGUUCUGUGACACCUGCGGGGUCAGUCCGAGCCUCCCAGCUCCCAUCCCACUGCCUCAGCCAUGGCUUAAACCACAUUUUUUCCGAGGGUAACUCUUGUUUUGACAGCAGAAGUGCAGAGGAGAGGAGCUGUGAGGUCCCUUCCCACUCAGUGAUUCUGUGAGUGAGUCCAAGGGCACUGCAGGAGCUGAGAGAUCACGGAGGGAAGUGCUGGGAAUUCCCAGUGGGGCUGUUCCUCACCCCAGAGUCUGCAUUAAUUGCUUCAUGCAGAGCCUGUGCAGUGCUCUGGAGAUGGAAAUAGUUCCACGAGUGCCUGGGUUUAUUAUUCUGCUGACAAUGGCUGUGGAGAGGAGUGGAACAGCCCAAAUUGAUUAAGAGACAAUUCUGAAAGGGAAAGUUUUGGAGGGAGGAAAUUACAUCCCUGCAGAAGAGGCUGCUCUGGCUGAAUAUUGGGAUAACUCUGGUGCUUCCUGGAGCUCAGCAAAUGAUUCCAGGUGAUGCUUGGUGUGCCCAGGAUUCCUGGUUCCAGCAGGGAUUGUGCAGAUGUGGAUGUUCUGUGGGUAAAUCUCUUUAUGUGGUUCAUGAGCGACUGCUGGAAGCGUGGGGAGCGUUGGGGAAACCCAACCCACUUUGUUUGGGUUUGUUUGGAAUGUGAAUUCUGUGGAUGUGAAUUCUCUGGAUGUGAAUUCUGUGGAUGUGAUUCUGUGGAUGUGAAUUCUGUAGGUAUGAACUCUGAGGAUGUGAAUUCUGUGGAUGUGAUUCUGUAGAUACUAACUCUGUAGAUAUGAAUUCUGUAGACUGUGGGUAAAUCUCUUUAUGUGGUUCAUGAGCGACUGCUGGAAGCGUGGGGAGCGUUGGGGAAACCCAACCCACUUUGUUUGGGUUUGUUUGGAAUGUGAAUUCUGUGGAUGUGAAUUCUCUGGAUGUGAAUUCUCUGGAUGUGAACAGCUCCUGUGACACAGCUCUGUGAUUUCACCUGAGUCUGAAGCUGCUGCAGUGCCACAGGGGCCAGACCUGAAAUGUGGAACAUCUGUACCAAGAAAUGGAUUUGCUGAAAAGUAGACAGCAGAAACCAGGGAUUGUGUUUAAAGUCUUAUCAACUGGAGCUGCUUAAUUUGAUUUUUAAGGUGUUUAAAGCACGGCUCUCUUCCUGGGGCAUUCAGGUUUUUGGUUUGC
rnacentral:lncRNA from 1 species